GACCAUUUUUUAUACGCGACAGGAGACCUGUGGGCAUCACUGAUCUGCAUAGCUUUUCUUUGGCAUACAAAGCGACCUGACGAAAAGAUCGCCUCGCACCAGACCUGGAGGUCUGGUAUUCGUUUUUGUAACUGCCCAAGUUUUGGAGCCAAGUCACUAGGUUCGUCGAGCUUAUCGUUUGGAUUGAGAAUCUCUGGACUUCUGAUAUCCACUUUCGAUAAGGACUUGUUCGGUUAAGAGGUGAUCGAAGGAGAUUGGAGAGGGGAUUGGAGAGGAUUAAAUCCCUUUCUAGUCAAUUGAACAGAGGUAGCAACUGAAUAAGCCCUAAAAUGGAAUGGCGAGUUUACUGCAUAUAUGAUGAGGCCAUAAAAGCGGAUGAAAAGGGAGGAGAAGGCACAAGGAGUGAUGGUGAUGGCUCUUGAGCUGGUGCCAGCCGUUUUUGAGGGGUAGUUUUAGAGCCAUUUCCGUGUCGUGAAUGUAAUAUCGGAAACUGUACAAAAGUUAGCUAGUUAGACGAUGGAAAUCAUUCUUUCCUUCAAUUUAUGCAGUGCCUGUUC
rnacentral:lncRNA from 7 species